rnacentral:tRNA from 1 species
CCUCUGGUAGCUCAGUUGGUAGAGCGGUGGACUGUAGUGAAAAUGCACUCUAGUGCCGGUUAGUUGUAAUCCAUAGGUCGCUGGUUCAAAUCCGGCCCAGAGGA